rnacentral:rRNA from 1 species
GAUGAACGCUGGCGGCGUGCUUAACACAUGCAAGUCGAACGGAAAGGCCCAAGCUUGCUUGGGUACUCGAGUGGCGAACGGGUGAGUAACACGUGGGUGAUCUGCCCUGCACUUCGGGAUAAGCCUGGGAAACUGGGUCUAAUACCGGAUAGGACCACUUCGUAGUUGUUGUGGUGGAAAGUUGUUUCGGUGUGGGAUGAGCUCGCGGCCUAUCAGCUCGUUGGUGGGGUAAUGGCCUACCAAGGCGUCGACGGGUAGCCGGCCUGAGAGGGUGUACGGCCACAUUGGGACUGGGAUACGGCCCAGACUCCUACGGGAGGCAGCAGUGGGGAAUAUUGCACAAUGGGCGGAAGCCUGAUGCAGCGACGCCGCGUGGGGGAUGACGGCCUUCGGGUGGUAAACUCCUUUCGCCAAAGACGAAUUUAGGACGGUAUUUGGAGAAGAAGCACCGGCUAACUACGUG